GGUCCCGCCUGGCCCUGUGACUAUAUGUUUAACGGCCGCGGUAUUUUGACCGUGCGAAGGUAGCGCAAUCACUUGUCUUUUAAAUGGAGACCUGUAUGAAUGGCAUAACGAGGGCUUAACUGUCUCCUUUUUCUAGUCAAUGAAAUUGAUCUCCCCGUGCAGAAGCGGGGAUACUUCCAUAAGACGAGAAGACCCUAUGGAGCUUUAGACACAAGGCAGAUCAUGUUAAUAGUCCUCACACAAGAGCCAAAACAAAACGAUUCCUGCUAGAAUGUCUUUGGUUGGGGCGACCGCGGAGGAAAAUAAAGCCUCCAUGUGGACCGGGGCCCAACAAGCCCUAUAACCAAGAGCUUCCGCUCUAAGUAUCAAAAUCUUUGACCUACCAGAUCCGGCUACGCCGAUCAACGGACCGAGUUACCCUAGGGAUAACAGCGCAAUCCCCUUCCAGAGCCCCUAUCGCCAAGGGGGUUUACGACCUCGAUGUUGGAUCAGGACAUCCUAAUGGUGCAGCCGCUAUUAAGGGUUCGUUUGUUCAACGAUUAAAGUCCUACGUGAUC
rnacentral:rRNA from 1 species